rnacentral:rRNA from 1 species
ACGGGGGGGCCAGCGUUGUUCGGAAUUACUGGGCGUAAAGGGCGCGUAGGCGGCCUUCUAAGUCAGACGUGAAAUCCCUCGGCUCAACCGAGGAACUGCGUCUGAUACUGGAGGGCUUGAAUCCGGGAGAGGGAUGCGGAAUUCCAGGUGUAGCGGUGAAAUGCGUAGAUAUCUGGAGGAACACCGGUGGCGAAGGCGGCAUCCUGGACCGGUAUUGACGCUGAGGCGCGAAAGCCAGGGGAGCAAACGGGAUUAGAUACCCCGGUAGUCCUGGCCCUAAACGAUGAAUGCUUGGUGUGGCGGGUAUCGAUCCCUGCCGUGCCGGAGCUAACGCGUUAAGCAUUCCGCCUGGGGAGUACGGUCGCAAGGCUG